UGAGGUGCGCAGCCUGCCCGCGGUGGGCACGUGCGGCGGAGGGGGGGGGGGGGGGCGGACGUUCCGCGCUCGCUGUCUCGCGCCGGCCGUUAACGGUCCCCACGGCCCGUGAGGUGAUUGCGUUCCCACCCCCCCCACCCGCUCUCGCCCGAGGAACUGCGGGGGGAAAAAGCGGCUCGGAGCGCCCUGCCGAGGGCACCGCUUGGCUGCCCACCCUCCCCGGGCUGUGUGCUGCUGCCCGUGAGGGAAAGAAGUGGAAAAAAAAAAUUGGAACAAUAAGGGUAAAAUCACCGUGUUGGGUCUCCACCAACAGCGAGGUGCCGUAAUUGCCAGAAAACAGUGAAAAGGUGGAUCCAGAUAGGAAAAGGGGAGCUGUCAGUUUCCUGCUGUGACAUGCACGGUCCUUGGUCAUCUUCCCUACAGACAUUGAUGAGGGAAAGUUGGGAAGUUAUCAGCUCAAGCAGCCUUUCACCAGUGAAGCUCUCCAAAAAGUUGUAUUUUUAGAACAAACAAACAAAAAAGCACACCAAACAGUUUCGGUACCAGAAACAGACUGUCUCCCAAGUGUGGCAACUCCGUUGCAAAGACUGCAGAGCCCCCUCAGCGCAUCGUUGGCUAUAAGGAGGUCCCCAGCACCAAGAUUUGCUCUUUUUAAGGUGCCAGAAGUCCUCAGCGUUAUCGACAUGCAGCUGCUGUUUGUGCAGCACAAUGCCCUCUGAAGCUUCCUCCCUGAGGCUGCGCCGUGUCUUCCUGCAGCAGGUCAGCACCAGGCCGGGACAGGUGACAUUUUCCCCGUGAUAGCUACCCCGCAAGGACAGUACUGGCCUGGUCCCACCAUUCGUUGCCCACCUACAGCAGCUGUGCGGGGCCAAGCAGGGCCCACUAUGGGCUGUGGAAGCUCCAGUGGCUCUGGGCAGGAGUUCAUGCCCCUCUCGCUGCCAUCACCGCAUCCCUCAAGCCGGACACCGCAGCACCCUCAGCCCUGUGGGGCACCAAGGGCAUGCACCUGGGACGUGCCUGAGAGGAGCCAGUGUUGUCUUCCUCCCCGAGCCACGCACCCCCAGCUCCAAGGGAUCGACCUGCACCGAGGGCCCGGCCAUCUGUGACAAGAACCUACCGUGUAAAACAAUCCUGCCUUUCAGAUCCUUUCAGCAGGAGCAACCCACGCCAGCACCCCCACAAAGCACCAGGGGACAGGACGUGGCUUCUCAGUGCUACUGGAGGGGCUUCCAGUCCUUGCAUCUCUUCAAACAAAAUGUCCCAAAGGCAUUUAUGCAGCCACAGCAAACCAGAGCUUAUUGACUCUGCUCAAGUCAGACACU